rnacentral:rRNA from 1 species
AGUGAACGCUGGCGGUAGGCCUAACACAUGCAAGUCGAACGGCAGCACAGUAAUAGCUUGCUCUUACGGGUGGCGAGUGGCGGACGGGUCAGGAAUACAUCGGAAUCUACUUUUUCGUGGGGGCUAACGUAGGGAAACUUACGCUAAUACCGCAUACGACCUACGGGUGAAAGCAGGGGAUCUUCGGACCUUGCGCGAUUGAAUGAGCCGAUGUCGGAUUAGCUAGUUGGCGGGGUAAAGGCCCACCAAGGCGACGAUCCGUAGCUGGUCUGAGAGGAUGAUCAGCCACACUGGAACUGAGACACGGUCCAGACUCCUACGGGAGGCAGCAGUGGGGAAUAUUGGACAAUGGGCGCAAGCCUGAUCCAGCCAUACCGCGUGGGUGAAGAAGGCCUUCGGGUUGUAAAGCCCUUUUGUUGGGAAAGAAAAGCAGCAGGUUAAUACCCCGCUGUUCUGACGGUACCAAAAGAAUAAGCACCGGCUAACUUCGUG